rnacentral:rRNA from 1 species
GUCUAUGGUCAUACCACCCUGAACGUGCCCGAUCUUGGCUGAUCUCGGAAGGAUGGUUGUGCUAGGUUUUUAGUAGAUAUUAUUUAUCAACUGAAAAAAAAACUCCUUUUAACU